AUCUUUGUGCCUUUUAGCAAUUCCCAGAGGGUAGGUGGCUACCCUCUCAUAGCUGCAAAUGAACAAAAACUUUUUUAAAUAAGCAAAGAGCAGAAGAGCCUGGGGAAGAGCCUCAAGUGUAAAGGUACAGCCAUAACAGCAUCAAGUGUUGAAUCCAGCUGUCAGGAGUAAACUCACCCUGACUGGACAUAUUUGCCUGCACUGAACUGUCACAUUCAAUUUAAGGACAAGCAGCAACUGAUAAGAUGUACAGGUAUGGAAGCCUAGUCUCAGUGAUUUUAACAACAGUGCUUUCAAACUUUGCUACCAAGGGUAUCACCACCUGGAUGGCCCCACCCUUUUCAGAGUGGCAAAACAGGAUGCUUAGUGCUACUUCAGUGGCCCCAGUUUGCUUCCUUGCGCAAUGGCAAUCCUUGAGGGUUUGAAAUGUGUGGCCAGCUGUGGUGGGCAGCACCCAAGACCUCAAGGUGUGCUCAGGCCUACAGUCUUGGCAGCACAAAUCAUCUGAUCUGGAGCUGCUGCCUCUAGGUUUGCCAGAGACAUAAUUAAUGUGUGACAUGAGCAUGUCCUGAAUGGUGGACAGCAUAAGCAGUGAUAA